rnacentral:rRNA from 1 species
GACGAACGCUGGCGGCGUGCUUAACACAUGCAAGUCGAACGGAAAGGCCCUGCUUUUGUGGGGUGCUCGAGUGGCGAACGGGUGAGUAACACGUGAGUAACCUGCCCUUGACUUUGGGAUAACUUCAGGAAACUGGGGCUAAUACCGGAUAGGAGCUCCUGCUGCAUGGUGGGGGUUGGAAAGUUUCGGCGGUUGGGGAUGGACUCGCGGCUUAUCAGCUUGUUGGUGGGGUAGUGGCUUACCAAGGCUUUGACGGGUAGCCGGCCUGAGAGGGUGACCGGCCACAUUGGGACUGAGAUACGGCCCAGACUCCUACGGGAGGCAGCAGUGGGGAAUAUUGCACAAUGGGCGGAAGCCUGAUGCAGCAACGCCGCGUGCGGGAUGACGGCCUUCGGGUUGUAAACCGCUUUCGCCUGUGACGAAGCGUGAGUGACGGUAAUGGGUAAAGAAGCACCGGCUAACUACGUGCCAGCAGCCGCGGUGAUACGUAGGGUGCGAGCGUUGUCCGGAUUUAUUGGGCGUAAAGGGCUCGUAGGUGGUUGAUCGCGUCGGAAGUGUAAUCUUGGGGCUUAACCCUGAGCGUGCUUUCGAUACGGGUUGACUUGAGGAAGGUAGGGGAGAAUGGAAUUCCUGGUGGAGCGGUGGAAUGCGCAGAUAUCAGGAGGAACACCAGUGGCGAAGGCGGUUCUCUGGGCCUUUCCUGACGCUGAGGAGCGAAAGCGUGGGGAGCGAACAGGCUUAGAUACCCUGGUAGUCCACGCUGUAAACGGUGGGUACUAGGUGUGGGGUCCAUUCCACGGGUUCCGUGCCGUAGCUAACGCUUUAAGUACCCCGCCUGGGGAGUACGGCCGCAAGGCUAAAACUCAAAGGAAUUGACGGGGCCCCGCACAAGCGGCGGAGCAUGCGGAUUAAUUCGAUGCAACGCGUAGAACCUUACCUGGGUUUGACAUGGAUCGGGAGUGCUCAGAGAUGGGUGUGCCUCUUUUGGGGUCGGUUCACAGGUGGUGCAUGGCUGUCGUCAGCUCGUGUCGUGAGAUGUUGGGUUAAGUCCCGCAACGAGCGCAACCCUUGUUCACUGUUGCCAGCACGUUAUGGUGGGGACUCAGUGGAGACCGCCGGGGUCAACUCGGAGGAAGGUGGGGAUGACGUCAAGUCAUCAUGCCCCUUAUGUCCAGGGCUUCACGCAUGCUACAAUGGCUGGUACAGAGAGUGGCGAGCCUGUGAGGGUGAGCGAAUCUCGGAAAGCCGGUCUUAGUUCGGAUUGGGGUCUGCAACUCGACCUCAUGAAGUCGGAGUCGCUAGUAAUCGCAGAUCAGCAACGCUGCGGUGAAUACGUUCCCGGGGCU